AGGUUUGUGCAAAAGUAAUUGCGGUUUUUGCCAUUACUUUUAGUGACAAAAACUGCAAUUACUUUUGCACC
rnacentral:miRNA from 1 species